GACGAACGCUGGCGGCGUGCUUAACACAUGCAAGUCGAACGGAAAGGCCCUGCCUUUGUGGGGUGCUCGAGUUGCGAACGGGUGAGUAACACGUGAGUAAGCUGUCCCUGACUGUGGGAUAACCUCAUGCAACUGGGGCUAAUAGCGGAUAGGAGUUCCUGCUGCUUGGUGGGGGUGGGAAAGUUUCGGUGGUUGGUGAUGGACUCGCGUCUUAUCGGCUUGGUGGUUGGGUAGUGUCUUACCAAGGCUAGGACGCGUAGCCGGGCUGAGCGGAGGAGAGGCCCAGUCAGGACUGAGAUGCGGCACGGACUCGUACGGGAGGCAGGGGAGGAGAGUAGUGCACAGGAGGAGGGGGCAUGGUGCAGCAAAGCCGCGUGGGGGAUGACGGCAUUCGGGUUGUAUAGCAAUUUCGUCUGUCACGAAACGAGAAUGACGGUAAUGGGUGAAGAAGCACCGGCUAACUCCGUG
rnacentral:rRNA from 1 species